rnacentral:rRNA from 1 species
AGAGUUUGAUCAUGGCUCAGAAUCAACGCUGGCGGCGUGCCUAACACAUGCAAGUCGAACGCGAAAGUCCCGCAAGGGAUGAGUAGAGUGGCAAACGGGUGAGUAACGCGUGGGUGACCUGCCUUCGAGUGGGGGAUAACGUUCCGAAAGGGACGCUAAUACCGCAUGACAUCCUGCCUUUAAAGAGGUGGAGAUCAAAGCUGGGGAUCGCAAGACCUAGCGCUUGAAGAGGGGCCCGCGUCCGAUUAGCUAGUUGGUGGGGUAACGGCCUACCAAGGCCACGAUCGGUAGCCGGCCUGAGAGGGCGGACGGCCACACUGGGACUGAGACACGGCCCAGACUCCUACGGGAGGCAGCAGUGGGGAAUUGUUCGCAAUGGGCGCAAGCCUGACGACGCAACGCCGCGUGGAGGAUGAAGACCUUCGGGUCGUAAACUCCUUUCGAUCGAGACGAAUGGCCUUCGGCUGAAUAAUCCGGAGGAAUGACGGUACCGAGAGAGAGCCC